rnacentral:rRNA from 1 species
CCUACGGGCGGCUGCAGUAGGGAAUCUUCCACAAUGGGCGAAAGCCUGAUGGAGCAACGCCGCGUGGGUUAAGAAGGUCUUCGGAUCGUAAAACCCUGUUGUUAGAGAAGACAGUGCGUGAGAGUAACUGUUCACGUUUCGACGGUAUCUAACCAGAAAGCCACGGCUAACUACGUGCCAGCAGCCGCGGUAAUACGUAGGUGGCAAGCGUUAUCCGGAUUGAUUGGGCGUAAAGGGAACGCAGGCGGUCUUUUCGGUCUGAUGUGAAAGCCUUCGGCUUAACCGGAGUAGUGCAUUGGAAACUGGGAGACUUGAGUGCAGAAGAGGAGAGUGGAACUCCAUGGGUAGAGGUGAAAUGCGUAGAGAUAUGGAAGAACACCAGUGGCGAAAGCGGCUCUCUGGUCUGUAACUGACGCUGAGGUUCGAAAGCGUGGGUAGCAAACAGGAUUAGAUACCCCUGUAGUC